CAAUGGACUAGGAAGCUCGGCUGCCGCUGCUACUGCUUCCCCCUGGGCUCCGGAGAGAGCCUUUCCCUGUCAAGCAAGAAGGGGACUUUCCGGCUUCCACACUCUCCCUGGACUUCCUGGAAGAAAAUCCCAAAGUCCUGGAAGGCUUUAGAUAUCUCAAUAGGCACAGUUUCUGCCCUGUGAUGUAUUACUUUCUUUU